GUCAGUAGUUAUCGCACUAGCGAACCAAGCGUGAUUUUUCAACAUGUUUCCUAACCCCUUUGAACGUAAACACUCCACUAUUCGUCAAGUCAUUGACCGGCUUAUCCGACCUGACGUGAAGGCGAAGAAUCGCAAAAACGCCGCGAUUUUCAACUCUUCACCACUUUCCUGGAGGAAGAAGAACCUGACGAUCAGCAGCAAAUAGAAGACUGUUUUGUAUAUUUUUUUCUGUGAAAAAGUGCUUCCUCAAUAUUUGAGAACUGUGAUUUAGUGAUAGUGUUUUGAAGAUGCGGAGAAGCUAUUUACUGUUAAAGAAGCUUUUGGUGGAGCGGAACCAUAUACGGAUCUCCAGAGGACGCCCAAUUGGAUUUUAUUCCAAUCCGCUUUCGCUUUGACUCUCUAAUGUAGUUCUCCAACAUUUGGGGGACGAGCUUUCCUGGAUACAAGGUGAUGGAAUACCAGACAUCAGCGAGUAACCAGCUGUUCAGUAUUAUCACCACAUAAUCAUUAUUUAAACAUAUUUAUAAUUUAUACAUUGUAUACAUUUAGAUUUAGGUUUAAAGCCAAAUGUUUUUUAUUCCUUUUCUAGAAAUGUGUGACAACUAUGUUAUUUAUGUCAGUAGAUCUCUUUUUUAUACCGUUAAUAAAUUAUUUGUUAUGUUUUUA